rnacentral:tRNA from 1 species
CGGGAUAUAGCUCAGUGGUAGAGUGCAUGCUUAGCAUGCAGAGGUCCUGAGUUCAAUUCCUAGUACCUCCA